rnacentral:ncRNA from 1 species
ACAAUCCACUGGAAGUGCCGUUCAUAAUGGCUGAGAUUGAAAUGUUGAUUUCAAAAUUCCUGAACCUGAUCCAGUUCGUACUGGCGUAGGAAAGUGGCUGUAUUCGUGU